GGAGAGACGGCUCAGCGGUUGAGAGCACUGGCUGCUCUUCCAGAGGAUCCAGGUUCAAUUCCUGGUCCCCACA
rfam:Mesocricetus auratus contig030654, whole genome shotgun sequence.